rnacentral:rRNA from 1 species
GGACCCGCACAAGUAGUGGAGCAUGUGGUUUAAUUCGAAGAUACGCGCAGAACCUUACCAACACUUGACAUGUUCGUCGCGACUCUAAGAGAUUAGAGUUUUCGGUUCGGCCGGACGAAACACAGGUGCUGCAUGGCUGUCGUCAGCUCGUGUCGUGAGAUGUUGGGUUAAGUCCCGCAACGAGCGCAACCCUCACUUUUAGUUGCCAUCAUUUAGUUGGGCACUCUGAAAGAACUGCCAGUGAUAAGCUGGAGGAAGGUGGGGAUGACGUCAAGUCCUCAUGGCCCUUACGUGUUGGGCUACACACGUGCUACAAUGGUAUCUACAACAGGAAGCAAGACUGCGAGGUCAAGCAAAUCCUUAAAAGAUACCUCAGUUCGGAUUGCACUCUGCAACUCGAGUGCAUGAAGCUGGAAUUACUAGUAA